AUACGGAGGGUGCAAACGUUGUUCGGAAUUACUGGGCAUAAAGGGCUCGUAGGCGGCUGUGUAAGUGUGGAGUGAAAUCCCACGGCUCACCCGUGGAACUGCUUCGCAGACUGCACGGCUAGAGGAUGCUAGGGGAGAGCGGAACUCCUGGUGGAGCGGUGAAAUGCGUAGAUAUCAGGAGGAACACCGGUGGCGAAGGCGGCUCUCUGGUCCAUCUCUGACGCUGAGGAGCGAAAGCCAGGGUAGCGAACGGUAUUAGAAACCCCGGUAGUCC
rnacentral:rRNA from 1 species